GUGGGGAAUAUUGCGCAAUGGGCGGAAGCCUGACGCAGCGACGCCGCGUGAGGGAUGACGGCCUUCGGGUUGUAAACCUCUUUCGACCCUGACGAAGCGUGAGUGACGGUAGGGGUAGAAGAAGCGCCGGCCAACUACGUGCCAGCAGCCGCGGUAAGACGUAGGGCGCAAGCGUUGUCCGGAUUUAUUGGGCGUAAAGAGCUCGUAGGCGGCCUGUUACGUCGUCCGUGAAAACCUGGGGCUUAACUCUGGGCGUGCGGUCGAUACGGGCAGGCUAGAGACAGGUAGGGGAGAUCGGAAUUCCUGGUGUAGCGGUGAAAUGCGCAGAUAUCAGGAGGAACACCGGUGGCGAAGGCGGAUCUCUGGGCCUGUUCUGACGCUGAGGAGCGAAAGCGUGGGGAGCGAACAGGAUUAGAUACCCGUGUAGUCC
rnacentral:rRNA from 1 species